UACGGAGGAUCCGAGCGUUAUCCGGAUUCAUUGGGUUUAAAGGGUGCGCAGGCGGGACAUUAAGUCAGGGGUGAAAGACGGUUGCUCAACAAUCGCAGUGCCUUUGAUACUGGUGUUCUUGGGUGACCUUGAGGUAGGCGGAAUAUGUCAUGUAGCGGUGAAAUGCUUAGAUAUGACAUAGAACACCAAUUGCGAAGGCAGCUUACUACACAACGAUUGACGCUGAGGCACGAAAGCGUGGGGAUCAAACAGG
rnacentral:rRNA from 1 species